AUGUUUUCUUCGGAAAAGGAGGGAGGCAAUGCUCAGCCGAACGAGAUGAUACAAGCUUUCCGAGAAUGUCUAGCUGAUUGUGGUCUAGAAGAGCUUGGCUAUAAGGGAGACUAUUUCACGUGGAGACGGGAAGAAAUCCGAGAAAGAUUGGAAAGGGUUAUGGCUAACUCGGCAUGGAUGGAAAACUUCCCACGAUAUAUUGUUACUAAUGUCGAGCAUGUGCAUUCAGAUCACAGACCGAUGAUUUUGGACACGGAGUAUGAUGAAGGAGUGCGCUUUACCAGUACUGUUGGUGUUCGCCACUUCGAGGCACGUUGGUUAGAGGAGGAAAUUAUUAAUGAAGUGGUUAAAUCUGCCUGGGAUUGA
rnacentral:rRNA from 1 species